AGAGGCUUAGGAUAAUAUAAAAGACCAAGAGCCUUCAAAGCCCUAAGUGGGAGUGAAAAUCUUCCAGCCUCUG
rnacentral:tRNA from 1 species